GGUGGCUCAGUGGUAGAGCGCUUGCCUAGCAUGCAUGAAGCCCUGGGUUCGAUUCCUCAGUACCA
rfam:Dipodomys ordii contig_20353, whole genome shotgun sequence.